rnacentral:lncRNA from 1 species
UUAAGUCGCCACCAAUGUUCAGCUUCACCGGUUAGUAUGAAGGCUGCUAGGGGGAUUUUUUGCUCCUUGGUUAGGUUUAAGAUAGAGAAAAGUUUCUCUAUCUACAGGAUCUAGGCUUCAACUACUAAAUAGUCGGGGCCCUCCUUCAAAGUACGAUGGAUUAAGUUUCCUAAAUUCUACUGUGUUGUAAGAGAUAAACCUCUCAACUGGUCGGUAGUCAGGGACAGGAGGAUGUUGGCAAGGGUUGGCUUGGUUUUGUCCUACGACUGCGAGUAGACCCUCAAUGGCUCAAAAGAGUUCAGUAAAAUUGGCCCUAAUCAUAUGAUCCUGGGCCUCAGGUCUUUCGAU